rnacentral:rRNA from 1 species
AACGUAGGUGGCGAGCGUUAUCCGGAUUUAUUGGGCGUAAAGGGCGCGUAGGCGGUCACGCACGUCCGUUGUGAAAUCGCUCGGCUCAACUGGGCGGGGUCAGCGGAUACGGUGUGACUGGAGCAAGCUAGGGGGCAAUGGAAUUCCCGGUGUAGUGGUGGAAUGCGUAGAUAUCGGGAGGAACACCAGUGGCGAAGGCGGUUGCCUGGAGCUUUGCUGACGCUGAUGCGCGAAAGCGUGGGGAGCAAACAGG